AGGUUGUAUGAAAGGAGGUUAGCCCUCCUCUUGACAAGGAUGGAAGAGGUCCUGGGGCCUGAAAACAUACAUACAGCCAAGACAUCACCACCUACUUUGUAGCAUUUAACUAUAUUUUACA
ensembl:snRNA